GGGUUAAGGGGUGGAAUAACCCCUUAACCCCCAUUUUAUCUCCAAAUACUUCUAAAAAUUGGUAGGGUUAGCUAACCCUACUUCAAAUGGGUUAUUCCGGGUUAGCUAACCUCACCUAACCCCACCAAACCCCAACCAAACAUUAUUUUCUAUUCAUAAUAACUCAUUAUCCUUCUUAUCCCACCUAUUCCAACCAAACACUAUUUUUCACUAUCCUGGACUAACUCCAACCCCCAACCAAAUACAAAAAUACUCUAACCUCACCUUAAUCCUAAACUUAGUUCUAUUCCUGGAAUAAUUAGUUUUUUCUUAACCCGAACCAAACGGUAGCUUAAUUCACUUUAUGCUAUACCUGUGAGAGCAAUUUUGGACUUUUGCCAUUUAU
rnacentral:lncRNA from 1 species